rnacentral:rRNA from 1 species
UACGUAGGGUGCAGGCGUUAAUCGGAAUUACUGGGCGUAAAGCGUGCGCAGGCGGUUUCUUAAGUCAGAUGUGAAAGCCCCGGGCUUAACCUGGGAAUGGCCAUGGAAACUGGCGAGCUGGAGUGUGGCAGAGGGGGGUGGAAUUCCGCGUGUAGCAGUGAAAUGCGUAGAGAUGCGGAGGAACACCGAUGGCGAAGGCAGCCCCCUGGGCUAACACUGACGCUGAGGCACGAAAGCGUGGGGAGCAAACAGG